CCCUGGUAGUCCACGCUGUAAACGAUGAGUACUAGGUGUCGGGGGUUACCCCCCUCGGUGCCGCAGCUAACGCAUUAAGUACUCCGCCUGGGAAGUACGCUCGCAAGCGUGAAACUCAAAGGAAUUGACGGGGACCCGCCCAAGUAGCGGAGCAUGUGGUUUAAUUCGAAGCAACGCGAAGAACCUUACCUAAGCUUGACAUCCCAAUGACAUCUCCUUAAUCGGAGAGUUCCCUUCGGGGCCAUUGGUGACAGGUGGUGCAUGGUU
rnacentral:rRNA from 1 species